rnacentral:rRNA from 1 species
GACGAACGCUGGCGGCGUGCCUAAUACAUGCAAGUUGAGCGCUGAAGGUUGGUACUUGUACCGACUGGAUGAGCAGCGAACGGGUGAGUAACGCGUGGGGAAUCUGCCUUUGAGCGGGGGACAACAUUUGGAAACGAAUGCUAAUACCGCAUAAAAACUUUAAACACAAGUUUUAAGUUUGAAAGAUGCAAUUGCAUCACUCAAAGAUGAUCCCGCGUUGUAUUAGCUAGUUGGUGAGGUAAAGGCUCACCAAGGCGAUGAUACAUAGCCGACCUGAGAGGGUGAUCGGCCACAUUGGGACUGAGACACGGCCCAAACUCCUACGGGAGGCAGCAGUAGGGAAUCUUCGGCAAUGGACGAAAGUCUGACCGAGCAACGCCGCGUGAGUGCAGAAGGUUGUCGGAUCGUAAAACUCGGUUGGUAGAGAAGAACGUUGGUGAGAGUGGAAAGCUCAUCAAGUGACGGUAACUACCCAGAAAGGGACGGCUAACUACGUG